UGAAAAGAGAUCAAGGGUUUUACACAUGGAGUCAAGCUGACAAAUAUAAAGCAAUGCCACCUACAAUCCUAACAACAAUUAGAAAGGACCGAGUCGUGGGAUUCUGCUCUACAGUCUACAGAAAUUCUGCCUUGUUCUCUUCUCCUCUGGCCACCAGACUCUGCCUCACCAGGAAUUUUUCCUCCCCUUCAUUCCCACCUGGAUAUGCAAAAGAAAAAAGAAAAAAUCCUUUGUUCCGAUUCAAAUG